CCAACUGGGAAAUAUUCCCAACCCUCAAUCACGGUGUUUCAGGUUGUACCAAAAUGAAACUAUUAGUAAAUUCAAUGGCCAAAAUAUAAAAACAGUAAAGACCCAAUUGCUACAGCUCGAAAGGGGAGGGGGCCUGCACGCAAAUAACCCCCUUUAUGCAAACGCGCGGAUCCCCCUGGAGCGGGUCGGAUCACGCGCGGGUCAAGGGGGGGUCAAACGGCGCCGUUUCAAAAUGAUGAUUUAAACCAAAAUAUUUUUAUUCUGCUUCAUUUUUCAUUUCAACAAAACAUAAAAAAACUCUUCUCUCCCUCCCUCAAAGUUCCCAGUAGCCAGACAUGGCCCACGCCGGCGAGCGGCCAUUCCGAUGGCCGAGGCUCUGUCACGGGCGGUGGUCGGAGCGAGAAAAAGAGGGGUUUUUAACCCCGUUCUCGACCUCCACCUUAAGGCCCGGUCCUUCAGACCAAACAAGCCAAAAAAGGAGGGACCUUUCCUACCCUUUUCGGUCCGAAUCCAACACCGGAAAGGGUUUCCGGCGACGGGUUUCUGAAACCGGUACUUGAAGACGGACUACAGAGGCAGAGAGUAGGGGGCAGAUGGGACGUGAUGAACGGCGGUGGUAGGUGGCGGCGCCAGAAGGCCGAAGGUCUGAAUACCCUAGGCGUGGCACUGUAGCGCUAGGGUUUGACUUGUUUGGUUUGAUAUUUUGGGCCAUUAGGGUUUGGAUAUUGGGCCUCGGGUUGUUGGGCUUUUGGGUAGUUUGGUUUCAAUGCUGGGUUAGGGCUUUAUUGGGCUUAGGGAUUUUUGCUUUUAAAUCUGUUUAUGUUUUGUGUUUGGUGUUUAAGGCCCGGGUAAAAUUGGGCCCGUACAAACAGUAAUUUGAAUCGGAACUGCUGGUGGCAAUAUGGCCUAAAAUAGUAUUUUGCACACCACCAAUUGUGACUA